CGCGGCCUAUCAGCUUGUUGGUGGGGUAGUGGCCUACCAAGGCGACGACGGGUAGCCGGCCUGAGAGGGCGACCGGCCACACUGGGACUGAGACACGGCCCAGACUCCUACGGGAGGCAGCAGUGGGGAAUAUUGCGCAAUGGGCGAAAGCCUGACGCAGCGACGCCGCGUGAGGGAUGACGGCCUUCGGGUUGUAAACCUCUUUCAGCAGGGAAGAAGCGAAAGUGACGGUACCUGCAGAAGAAGCACCGGCUAACUACGUGCCAGCAGCCGCGGUAAUACGUAGGGUGCGAGCGUUGUCCGGAAUUAUUGGGCGUAAAGAGCUCGUAGGCGGCCUGUCGCGUCGGAUGUGAAAACUCGGGGCUUAACCCCGAGCCUGCAUUCGAUACGGGCAGGCUAGAGUUCGGCAGGGGAGACUGGAAUUCCUGGUGUAGCGGUGAAAUGCGCAGAUAUCAGGAGGAACACCGGUGGCGAAGGCGGGUCUCUGGGCCGAUACUGACGCUGAGGAGCGAAAGCGUGGGGAGCGAACAGGAUUAGAUACCCUGGUAGUCCACGCCGUAAACGUUGGGAACUAGGUGUGGGCGACAUUCCACGUCGUCCGUGCCGCAGCUAACGCAUUAAGUUCCCCGC
rnacentral:rRNA from 1 species